GACGGGGGGGGCAAGUGUUCUUCGGAAUGACUGGGCGUAAAGGGCACGUAGGUGGUCAACUAAGUCGGACGUGAAAUCCCUCGGCUUAACCGGGGAACUGCGUCCGAUACUGGAUGACUUGAGUUCGGGAGAGGGAUGCGGAAUUCCAGGUGUAGCGGUGAAAUGCGUAGAUAUCUGGAGGAACACCGGUGGCGAAGGCGGCAUCCUGGACCGACACUGACGCUGAGGAGCGAAAGCCAGGGGAGCAAACGGG
rnacentral:rRNA from 1 species